rnacentral:lncRNA from 1 species
AGAACACCUGCUCUGGCAAUAGGCCACGGGCAGGGCUGCUUUAUAGCGAUCAGCUGGGAGCAGUUGGGGCCGAGCCCUUCAUGUCUCGGGCUGUCCACACUCCAAGCGCGGUACGUGCGCCCAGGCCUCCAUCUUGCAUCUCAGUGUGAGCCUGGCGCUUGCGCACACAGCUUGCCUGCUAUGCUGAGGGGUGGGUGCAGCCGCUUGCCACGAGGAGGAGCUCUGGUCUGAAGCUCCUGGUGCGAGGUCUCUGCUCAGACCACCCUGUAAGCAAGUGAAACUCAACCAAGCACGAAGGAAAGAAAGGAAUUAGCCAUGACUGAGGUGAACACUGAGUAGCCAGAACAAGGCCAAGAUGAAAAAGGCUGAUUGUAUUCAUGACUGACUGGGACAGAAUGCAGGCUCUUACAAAGUCUAGAAGACCACCCACUAAGGCAAAUGACGAAUCUAGAAGACAUGAAGGAAGGAUCAUAAUUGAAGUUGUGGAGCCAGUAAUUUAGAGCUGGGAAGACAAGAUUACAGCAAAAGCAACUGGAAUUGAUAAGGGAACAUGAGAUUGGGAGAGAUAGUCCUGAGUGACAUUGCACAUUGGCUGGUGUUUGGGGAUUACCCUUGUGAGCUGGCAGGAGCAUGAAGCAAGGCUUUGUCUUCCAGCACCCCAGUGGUGGGAGAUAACGAUUUAAGUGUUUGGAAGCCAAGUUAAGUGAAAAUCUUCUUGGCACCUCGGGAGAGAGGCCAAUAGGACACCGAGUGAAGCCUAAAUAAUGCUGCAGGAUGUUGGGAUAAAGAGCUGGUUUAGUCUCCUGGGUUUGUAGACAUUGUUUUUGCUUCAGGGCUGUGAACAAGAUGCUAAAAUACAUUGCUGAUCCCUUUCCUCUGGGAGCUACAUCAGGGCUUAAACUUGAUUGAAGCACCCAACACCUGGAAAUAUUUUUAUCCUCUUCACUCCAGGCUGGAUUUGAACUGCUGACUUGGAGGCGAAAUGUUCUACAGCCCAAAUCCAAUCCAUGGAGCCAAUUAAGCUCCUUCCUCAUACAUUUCUUUGUGCUCUGUUUUGAAAAGAGAUUUUUAAGUGAUCUUAAGGAAAAAUAGGAUGUUGUUUCUACGGUUACCAUUGAUGGAAAUAUUGAUGUGAUGUAGUUUGUCUAGAGUUUUUCUCUUUUGUUAAAUAAAAAGCGUAAAUUAGCCUGUGUAUGUAAACCAAAAACAAAAAGGUAGGCCAAAAUCAAAAGAGGCGAUCAUUUGGUUAUACAUUUUUGCACAAAAGAAACAGAUAAAUUUUCUCAAAAGACUUGGCAGCUGUGCUAUUCAUAAAUGUGUGUUCAACAGAUAGUCUAGUUGCCUCACUUGUAGCUGGAGGACAUGCUGGUCCUUUCACAUCAUUUACCCAUUUGCUGAGUUUUUGAGUAGACAGUGAGACUGUAUUUCAAACCCGAGGAUUGCUUGCCAUAAACAUGGCUUCUGUCUCCCUGACAAAUGUUUUAUUAUCCCUUCUGUCUGGAUUCCUACUUUGUUCAGUCAGUUGUGUGUCUUUGUAGAGUUCAUAAGUUUCAAUGAUGGUUCUCAGAAUAUUUUUUAAACACUUCAGUUAAAAUAGCUCUUCAAAAAUCAACUAGUAUUUUCUAUAUUUCUUUAUGAGUGAAGAUGAUAAACUGGACACAGUUCUGUGACUUCUGUGCACUGGAAUAUAAUAAUUUAUGUCUGUACAGCAUUUCUCUUUCAUGCAUAUCAAUGCACAAGUUACAGUCACUUGGUUACAUGGGUAAAGCAUUCAUUCAUUCUUUCAUUUGCAUUUACUUGUUCAUAUACUUAUUGAGUACUGAUAGGUCAGGCAUUGAGCUAGGUUCCAGGUAUAAGAAAUAUGAAAAACACCAUCCUUGUCUUCUAGAAGCUUCUAGAUGGUCCCUUCUUAUGGGAGCUAAAGUAAUUUAAUACUGUAAAUUGUCUAUACAAAGUGUAGAUGGGGAGCAGGGACAGGUUGCUAAAGCUGGAUUGGAUGAACAGGAAAAUAUUUCAAAAAGAAGAAGAAUUUAGAGUAAGAUAUGAAAAGAAAAAUGUUUUUCACACAGAUUGAGGGAGGAUAUUGACACUAGAGUACUAUGACCAUGGUUGUAUAGAUGAGGAAACUAAGAUUAAAAGACUUUUCAAGGUCAUGAGGAUGGUAGAUGAGAUUUCAGGUACUUGGACUGAGAUGUUUCAUUCUGUUGCCAUUGCACUCCACUACACCAAUCAACACUUCAUAGAGACUUUUCAAAUCUUCAUAAUUCUAUAAAGCAAGAGGUAUAUACGAUUACCUUUUUUUGGGGGGGGCGGAGGUUGAGGGCUGCACCUGCAGUAUGUAAAAAUUCCCGAGCCAGGGAUUGAACCCUAGCCACUGAAAUGACAAUGCCAGGUCCUUAACCUGCUGCAUCACAUGGGAACUCCAAGGUCAUCUUGCUUGAGCAUGAGAAGGCAUUUAAAAUCUUGGGGAGAGAGAGAGGAGUUCCCGUCAUGGCUCAGUGGUUAACAUAUCAGACUAGGAACCAUGAGGUUGCGGGUUCGAUCCCUGGCCUUGCUCAGUGGGUUAAAGAUCCCGCAUUGCUGUGGCUGUGGUGUAGGCCGGCAGCUACAGCUCCGAUUAGACUCCUAGCCUGGGAACCUCCAUAUGCUGCAGAA